CUCUUCUGUGUCACGGGUGUUUCGCUCUGGGUGUUUCGAAAACAAAGACCUACGAAAAUGAGGACCGAAGACCUAAGAUGGGUCUUCGGCCUUCGUAAUUACGAAAACGAAGACCCAUCUUCGUUUUCGUAUUACGAAAACGAAGACCAUAAAAUAUUCAUUUAUAGCUACGUAAUUUUCCAGAGGUAAUUUUCGUGAAAAUAAGCGUAAAAAUGUCGCGAAAAAUUUCCGAUAAAUUGUGGAAAUCACUAGAAACGUAAACCACUCAUGUGACAAACAUCAGACUGGUAAGAAAUAGCUAAAUAAUUUAGCAAUAUUCCAUAUAUAUAUAUAUGCAUUUGCUGUACUAUUGUCAAUGUCUGCAUGGGCAAAUCAGUUUGAAUCAGUAAUACCAACAGUGUGACUAGAUUUUAAUUACUUUUGGUAACAUUUCACGAUUUUUCUGACUUUUUUGGUACGCUAUGCGCCUAUGUUCUUAGGAAGUGCCCUAACGAGAGGCAGCAACCCCCUGAAAACAUAUUGAAAUUUAAUCUUCCAUUUCGCGACACUUUUGCCGACUCUUCCACAGUCCCUAACACUGUUUCUAACGCAAAGGACCAUGAGAAUGCCCCAAGGCGUUUUGUUCCCAUCAAUCAGCGCGCGUUGGGUAAUUCAACGCGCGUUAGGUAAGCGACUGGGGACGAGUCAGACACUUUUAUGCUUAUUUUCGCGAAAACAAUGUAAAUGAAUAUUUUAGGGUCUUCGUAAAGAUGGGUCUUCGUUUUCGUAAUUACGAAGACCGAAGACCCAUCUUAGGUCUUCGGUCUUCGUUUUCGUAGGUCUUCGUUUUCGAAACACCCCUUACACCACGGUUAAUUAUUAACCGUGCUUACACGUGAUUGUCACUCAUCUGACAAUUAUUUACAGUCAUCUUCAGAAUGCCACGUUUUUUAAAAACCAACUACCUAUAUCUAUAAAACUCACUACAAAACGUGGUGGCAUUAAUAGUCGAAACAUAGAGAAUGACAAUGUAAACAACUUGCGUGUGUCAAUUGUGAGUGUCGAGUGUCAAUUGCUUCUGAUAGUUUGUGUUUAAUUCACUGUAAAAACUCUAUGGCAACCGUAAUUUUUAGACAGUGGCAUUGUGUAAAAGUAUUUAAUAAUUAGUAUAAAAACUUUCCAUCACUAAAACAAUCUCGUACUAUGCCACUAAAUCCUCUGAAAUACAAGCACAUGCAACUAAAUCGCUCAAAUAAGCCGCCUUCCACGUAAUAGCCUGCGUGGCAGACGGUCAGCCCACCGCGGGACACCUAAAAACGGGCGAGGCGAAUAACCAACAAGCUGUUUCAUUGUCGAAGUAUUCCGGAUUUUCGGAACACUAAUGGAAUGGAACAGAAGACAGUCACAUAUGACUGUUCUGAACUGUUCUGAUUACCCCGAUUUUCGAGUAUAUAUAACUUAUUCAUAAAAACGCACAAGUUGUUUAUACAAGUCUGCAAACAAGUUGUUACAAAGUUUGUUCACAAGCUGUUAGCUGUCAGCCUGUCGACACGUUGUGUUGGCACUACUUUUCCCAGUUGUUGGAACAAGCUGUUAACAACUUGUAACAAGCUUGAUGGAAUUAUCAGACUUGUUUCAAGGUUGUUCUAACAAAUCUGAUACAGUCACGAUAUACCAAAAGGCAUGUUGUAAAAGACGGACUGGACUAGGAAAACGCGGACUCCGUAUUUUCCAUAUUUUUCUCUGACGUCAGACUCCGUGUUUUCCAUAUUUUUCUCUGACGUCAGACUCCGUAUUUUCCAUAUUUUUUUCUGACGUCAGACUCCGUGUUUUCCAUAUUUUUCUCUGACGUCAGACUCCGUGUUUUCCAUAUUUUUCUCUGACGUCAGACUCCGUGUUUUCCAUAUUUUCUCUGACGUCAGACUCCGUGUUUUCCAUAUUUACGGCGGACUCCGUGUUUUCCAUAUGACUCCGUGUUUUCCAUAUUUUUCUUUCACGUCAGGCUCCGUGUUUUCCAUAUUUUAAGACUCCAGGACUCCGUCUUUUCCAUCUUACCUUUCUUGAUGUGUUGUUGUCUGCAGUCCCUCCUUUCCUUUCAAGGAGGGACUUCCUCGCAGUCUAAUAUACUAAUCACGCAAUAUUGAGCGUCUGCCACACAAGCUAUCCUCCGUAUUACUAAUGGCGUUACCAUGCACGUUUCAUGUUCCGCUUACCAGCCAAUCUCAUACAAAUACAAUACCAAACAAUCUCGUAUCCAAUUGGUACGAGAUUGGUCGGCAUAUACAGCAUCAACCUCGUACCCAGAGGCUAUACUUUCUCUCACACUCUGUUGCCACGGCCACUUGCUCUCCAAUUCGGAGUUUUGACUGCGCAUAUGCAUAUAUGAAAGUAUUCAAAUGAACGUUCAAUC
rnacentral:lncRNA from 1 species